rnacentral:rRNA from 1 species
AUACGAAGGGGGCUAAGCGUUGCUCGGAAUGACUGGGCGUAAAGGGCGUGUAGGCGGUUUUGACAGUCAGAUGUGAAAUCCCGGGCUUAACCUGGGAGCUGCAUUUGAGACGUUAAGACUAGAGUGUGAGAGAGGGUUGUGGAAUUCCCAGUGUAGAGGUGAAAUUCGUAGAUAUUGGGAAGAACACCGGUGGCGAAGGCGGCAACCUGGCUCAUUACUGACGCUGAGGCGACGAAAGCGGUGGGGAGC